GCUAUUAUCAUGCUUUCCUAGAGCCAAUUUAUAAGAUAUGAUAGAGAUGGUCUUUAUUAAGAGAGAAAGCUGGUGGAGAAAACUUUUGCUUAAAAUGCUUUUAUUAGAUGUAUAUCUUGUCCUUAUUUUAGCUGUUGGAAGGAAUUGGAAGAGAGUGAAUAGUUUGUGACUGAAGUAUCUUCAGAUGAUUUGGCUAAAAUCUUGAACUCAAAAGAUGUUGCACAUGAACUUGUGAUGUCUGAUGACAGAGAAUUUAAUAUGCCUUUUCAAAUGCAUUCACAGUAUCACCUAAGGUGUUUGGGUGAUUGCAUAAAUAACUUGAAUUUUGUAUUAUAUAUGAGAAGGGUUGGGAAGGGUUGUUGUUAGUACACAGGAACAACUUUGAUCUCUUAUAGUAGUAUGUGGAAUCAAGGCAGCUGAAGUGAAAUAAUUUGUGUAGAGGAGAUUAAGAUCUUUUAAAAUUGGCUGCUUUCUUCAGAUUUGGAUCUGCAUAUGAAUUUCUGAUCUUCUCUUGAUGGCCACUGGAAUUCAAUGCACAGAGAAAACAUUAUCAGGCAAUAUUAAAAUGGGAAAAUUGUAGAAGGAUAAAGUAGAUGUAACAUAUUUAGGAAUGUGAAACAGAAUGGACAAUUGGGUCAUGAUAUGAUAUUAGAUAGUUAUAGGACAAGUGUUUUGUAUCUGACUUGAAAUACUUGAAGAUGAAGUGGAACCUAAUUAAAACCCCAAUCUCAUAACACCAUUACAGAGUAAAUAAGAUCUGCCCAUUGAUAAUUUUUACAGCAUUCCUUAUUUCUAUGCUAAGAAGAUAAAUAAAAGGGUAAAUUACAAUUUAGUCGCUAAGGUUUGACAAAACCAAGCAAUUUAAUCUCAGAUAUUUAGCAAAACCUAUAAUUUAGUCACUCUAUCCAAUUUUCCAUCCAAGUUAGCAAAAUGACCAAAAUGCCUUUAACUCUAUAUAUUUUCUAACUGAAGGAUUUAGUCUAUAGGAUUUUAUAUUAUAAACAAAAUAGUAAUACUAUUUAGUCCUUGUGAUUUUCUAAAUUGUAAGUUUUGCCAAAUAUUAGGGAUUAAAUUGCUUGAUUUUGAAAAGACAAGACUUAGUUGUAGGUUUUGCCAAACCUCAAGUUUAAAUUGUAGUUUAACCUAAAAAAAAAUUGAUUUCUCCAUGUCUUAUUCAAC
rnacentral:misc_RNA from 1 species